rnacentral:tRNA from 2 species
GGCUCGAUAGCUCAGUUGGUAGAGCAUAGGACUGAAAAUCCUUGUGUCGGUGGUUCAAGUCCACCUCGAGCCACCA